rnacentral:tRNA from 1 species
GUUUUUAUAGUUGAACUACAACAGCAGUUUUUCAGGCUGUCGGUCUGGGUGGAAGCCCCAGUAGAAAUAA